CAAUGAAGGUAGCAUGGUAAGGUGCACGGAAAUUGAAUUACAUUGGUCUACAUGUCUGCUCCCUCUGAUGCCUCUCCUUGGAGGCAUUUGAUUUGGGGGCCUGGUUAUGACCCACAUUU
rnacentral:snoRNA from 1 species